CGCCCUGAGGGGAGGGAGCGAGAAGCGAAACUGCGUCAGUAAUAAACGCAGCCUUGCAAAACUCACUCAGUCAGUAAUAAACACCGCCUUGCAAAACUCAGUCGGUAAUAAACACGGCCUUGCUGGGUGUUUCUGGUAGCUGUGUAUUAGUUUUUACUGAAUUAAGUGUAGUACCCAGAGAAGGAAAGGAGGAGACAUCGCCCAUGGUUGUAGAUGAUUUUAAAUUAAAUAUUUUAUGACAGCCAAUGGGCUUUAGUUUGCACUUAGCAGAUGGGGGUUGCAAAUUUCUGUAAGCACCGUUUACUCCUGGAAACAGAGCAGCAACUCCCGAGUUUUGGCUCCCAUAUCAGACGUAGCUUCAGUUGUUUGGACUGGAGUAUUUUAGUUGUCAUUCAGUCAGAAAAACAAUCCUGCAGAGGAAACCAAGAAACAAGUCCUGGAAAUCAGUUCUCAGACAAGACAAUUCUUCGAGCACACCCUAAAGCAAAUGGGAGACUGCACUCACUACAAGAAGGCAUGCAAUAAGAAAUAUUGGUGACUGUUCUCAUGUAAGACAGAGAUGAAGUGCUUAAUGGCAUUACAAGGGGAGAAAAGACAUGCUUGUCUUUUUUCAUUUCAGACAUCUAAUGAAGGAUUACCAUUCAGAAAAAAGAAGACAGUAGAGCAGAGCACUUGGAGUAUGUCUGCAUCAGAUCAAGGUCAUUGUCAGCCCAAAAAUCUAGUGAAACACAUUUGUUCAAUGCAGAGGUACAAGGUCUUUCCCACUGUGAAAUGCCAGGCUGUAACAUUUAUACCUCAAAACUUUCGCUAGGCAGACUUAUAAAAGCUGGCUAACUGAGGUUUCUGCACACAGUUACAAAACAUGCAUUACAAUGAUCCAUACAUGGUCAUUAUAGCUGAGCUAUCCUUGUCAUUGAGCAAGCACAGAGUGCUCCACGAGGAAGGGAUAUCCGAGCAGCAAGGCAAACAGAGUGCCAUCACCCCAAAAAAGAGCCAGUCUGCAGUGCUAAUGAUGACAGGUCUAUAGAUAGUCUUCAGCCAAAAGUGGAGAUUAACAGAUGAAUGAGUGAUGGUAACAGAUAACAUGAUGAUGAGAUAAAUCCAAGGUCAAGCCAGGAGGUCAAAUCCAUGUGGAUUCAGAUCAACAGGGUUCCUAGCCAGGUGUGGGCACAGGUGCAAUAUAGUUCUGGCAGAAAACAAGUGUGAGAGCCCAGCCUAAUUCCCCAGCAGAUCCUGGAGAAAGGUGAGAAGUCCCUGUAAGGGCUUUUCAGGCGACACUUCUGCAUGUGGCUUCACGGCUGAAGAGCUGUGCUCUCUGUAUUGGCCAUGAGAGCAGCUGGGUAGCUUCCAGGAGAGAGGGGCAUGCUCAGGGAGCAUAGCUGCUUAAAACCCAUGUCAGGAUUGUGUUUCCUUUUUAUUAUUCGCUUUAUACAUAAUAUAUAAAAAUUAGAUUUUUUUUGUGAACUAGGUAUCAGCAAGCUGUGUGGAGAUUCAGUGAAUAUCAGGACUCUGGUUGCUAUUUAUGUCUUUGAGAAUCUCUUUUUGAAAUUUUAAAAACCAGGAAAUUAUUUUAUAGGAACUAAAUUGUAAAGAAGGUGAGGGUCUGGAAGAAAUCUGUAAGAUGAGAAGAUACAGCUCAAGUCCUAACUAGUGUUUGACAGCAGAGCACUGAAAUACUUUAUAGUGUAAUCAUCUGACAUAUGCUUCUUGACAACCAGACUACACUAGAAAUCAUUAAGGAUUCCACUUUGGAGUGUACUCUCUGAAGGGAGAGGGAUAUCAAAAAAAUAGGAGAAAAAGCAAUUAGCAGUAGACCUAGACAAUAUAAAAUUGAGCUAGUGGAAAAUAAAAAACUCUUUAUAAAUAUGACUUCAUAUGCUCACAUUUCUCCUUGCAGUAGGUUCUCAAGUUUUCCAUUCUGGAACUAGCACAUUAUUGUGAAAAGCAAAGACAUGUGCCAGGAAUUUCAGUUAAAGUGAGUCUAAAAAAAUCAGAUGGUAGUUGCAUGUGGCUACAAAGGAUACCUUAUUUUAUUCCCUACAGGUAUGUCACAUAAGGUAUUUGGGUUUCAAAUCAAACCAGUUUUAUUUUCUGUCUUUCCUUUCAGUGACCAUUUAAGCUACUAUUUUUUGGGUUACAGCUACAAUUCUAGUGGUAGAUUGAUCUCUGGGUAAAGAAGUUCCCGACUGCCCAGUGUUUUCUGACAGAAGAAAGUCAUGUCUGACUUCAGCAGCAAAAGUAAUGUAGCAAAAGUACCAGAGAAUCCUGAAUAGCAGAGAAAUCUUUUCAGGUUCAGUAGCACACAAAAAUCUUAUUCUCCCACUAGACUACUUCUGUCAAUUAGUCAAUCACAAAACAUUCUACAAAGUGGCAUUAUGCAAAGUGAAGUUUUACUCCACUUGAGGCACAGAUUAAAAAAGCUUAUUGAGACAAAUUCUCUAUCAACAGAAAGCAUGACUUUUACGUUUCUCUAUAACUGACAUGUAUUGUAAUUACAGAAUGAGAGUGUUUGCAUGGUAGUGAUCCCAGGCUGCAUUUGCAAUCAAUUGUUUGCAUACAAAACUCCAUGGACAAAGUGUUAAUUCAUUCAACUUCAACUGUUAAAACAGUUGAAAUAUCUGUUUUUAUUUGUUGUUGUUGUUGAAUCUGCCUUUAUUCCCAUAUUGGGUUACAGAAAAUAGGAUGAUCCUUUUUUUCCUGUGAAGAAAUGAGAGAAUACAUUUGUGUAAAGUAUCUUGAUACAUAGUAACUGUCAGAAAGCAGAGUGGUGGAGACUUCGAGCAUUUAAAAAGGAUACAGAACAAUCUAACUGUUCUUUGUGUAGCUGGGAUCAGUAUUGAACUGAAAUUAUAGCAAGAUAGAAGCUAGUGGGGCUAUAGAGAAACCCUUCUACCAAGGAAGUGUACUGAAGCUUGGAUUAUACCACAAAGGAAGGGCUAGAGGCUCCAUUUCCAAUGAUUAUUAAAAACAGGUUAGGCAAACAUCUCUAUAGCCUGCCAUAUGCAGAAAUUAUCAUGACUUGAGGAAAGAAAAUAGUCUGGAUCUCUUUUUCUUUUUUGGAUUGGUCCAAAGAAAUUAUCAAUAAGGCUCAAUGUUCCUUCAGUUAAGAGACACCCUGUCUUGGGGAACUCUCAGUGUCUCUUAGGAAUUCCUGAUCAUAUCACAUCCUAGAAACGUGGAAGCAAUUGUGGCUUAUAAGGACAUCUUUCUGGUGGAGAGAAGGGCUGUGUGCAAUGUCCAUAGAUGUGCAAUACUAAUCAUACGUAAAAAUAUGAUCUUCGGAAAAUCAUUGAAGAGUUCUGGAAGAAGGAAUGACUAAUACAAUGAGAAGUGAUAAGGACAGGAAAAACUUAUUCAGGUAAAAGGCAGAUUUCAGUUGAAUGCCACUACUACCAGUGGAAUGACGAGUGUAUCUGAGGAUCAUGAUGCAGGUGAAGAAGACAUACAGCUGCUGUAUGUCACUAUUACCCAGCUCCUCCAGUAGAUCUUAAGAGCAGCCAGGGUUUCUGUUCUUACGCACUGUAACGUUUCUGCGUGUGUGGGAGGACUGAAAGAUGGGAGGAAUUUGAGAACAUCAGUAAUGUUCUGCUCAGCUGGAAAACUCAAAUUAUUCUGUGCUGAACUGGACCCACUCUUCUUAAGCCUCCCAGGCAGUCAUCCUGACAAACUGAAAUUCAUUCUCACGUUCUCAGACUUGCUGAAUGCCCUUUGAACAGCUGCAGCAUUGACAUGCUAUAUUACAGUAUCAGAAACACAAAGAUUUGUUCAGGAAAAUCCCUUCUGCAGAAAUCUAUAUUAAGUUAUGUACCUAGGCUAGGAUUUUCUAAAGUUUAACCUGGAUUACUUUGGAAAUAAAAUUCUUGGUGGCUUUUCUGAGAACUGAGUCCCUUUUUUCUUAUCCAGUCUCUUUGGAGGCUUUCAGUCAUAUAUUACAUCAAAUAACUAACAUCACCAAUAUUUUCAGUUAAUGACAUAUUCACUGUUACCUGUUACUUUUUAACCUGUAAGUAUUUUCCUUGCAGGAUUUUAGAUUAUCAUUAUUCUCUCUUCUCUUUGGAAGAAGAAAAAUUACAUAUUGUUUACAUCAUGAAAAUUCUACAAUGUUUGGUUCUUUUCCAGAAUAGUUCAUGUACUGGUCAAUUGUCUAAACAGAGAACAGUCUUAUUCUUAAGGAAACAUGUUUCUUCUUCAAGUCUGUGACGUGUCCUGGGUGACAGUCUUCAUACAACCUGGAGGAAGUAUACAAGAUACUUUUCAUUUCAAGUGUUGAUGUAUUUUCUAACAUUUUUGAAAUAAACUAAAUAUUUAGACUUGUUUAGUGACGCAGACCAAAUCCAAAGUACAGCAGCAGAACAAGCCUUCCUAUGAUGCAUCAUGAAUUAGAGUUAACCUGAGGAAUGCAUCUAUAAAAGCAUUCAUUUGUUCAGUAUUCCCAGUAACCUGAGAGUGCAGGGAAAAUUACCUGCCAUCUUCACCAAUUAAUACCACAUGCUUUUUUGAGCUUUCUCUUAGUUUCUGAGGUUUGUACAACAUUGUGGGUGGUCAUCAGAAUAAGCAGUUUCUUUGCUGUAAUUUUCACUGGCUGUAGUUACCUUUUUUGCUUUCCUACUGCCUCCCUGCUCUGCUCCUUUGUGUACGUAUGUAACUGCUACUUCUGCUGUAAGUAAACUGCCAUCAAAGAUCAAUCAGCUAACAUUAACCUUUCAGAUCUUUGAAAACCAAUGUCAUCACUUCUUUCUUUAAGGUAUGAUUACUUUUUUUUAGCUUAAGACCUCUUUGAAAUUGUCUCAAGCUUUCAAUAUUUUGAAAAAUGUAUUAGAGAAAUGAAGAGGUACUGCAAAGGUAAGUCAUGGUGUGUGUGCAAGGCUCAGGAUCUUGCUUACUGCUCUCCAGCAUUUCUUCAGACCACACUUUAUUACCUGUUCAGAUCUCCCAGCAGUACUGGGAGGGCACUCCCAGACGUACUGAGGGCACUCAGUACCUCUGAAACUACGAAUCUACUGUGCAACUUCUUAUGUUUAGUCUUUUAAUUAAAUAAUCUGUAAUUCUGGAGAAACUCAGGUGUUAUUUUUUUAAUCUGCUAAUCCAGGCUCAGAUGAAGUGUAAACCUCACUGAACCAUAUGAGCUCACAUGUAUGUUACUUGAAUAAGUGUUUGCAACAAGAAUGAUUAGAAAAAGACAAAGGGUGGGAGGAAGAAAACACUGAAUCCUUUUAAGGUAAUGCAUAAUAAUAAUUGUCAUAAUCAUCAUCAUCAUCAUAGCAGUUGUAACCAGAUCAGGCUUUUGAUUCAGUUGUCCAGUUCAUUCCAUAAACAAAAGAAAGCUUGGAAGACCAGCAUCAUGAGAAGAGAACAAGAAGCCCAUGCUGAAAGGCCUCUUUUUGCACAUGUAAUUGUUUGCUUCAAUGUGGAUUUACAAGAUAAAAGUCAACACCCUUUGUCUGUAAGGCUGCAUUACACACGUCAGCAAGACCCUUUUUCUACAGGCUGAGAAUGCAUAAACAAAUUAUUAGGGCGACCCAGCGCAGGUGUGAUCACUUCUUGUGCUGUGGUACUGUGACCACGCGCCAGAGCCCUGGAAAUUUCUUGUGGCUGCGCAGUGCAUCCCUCUGCUCUUGGGCAAGUGUAGAAGGCCACCAUCUGCUGCUCUGAACCCCCUGGUGAGAACCUGAAAUUGAGCAGGUUUUGUGCUGCGCUACUGCUCUCUACUCCAUUUGCAGCAGUUUGUGCAUCGAGAGAGGACUUUUCUUGCACCAGACCGUGCGCUGUGGGUGCAUCAAGAGGAGCCUUUCCUUAAACCAGACCGAGCGCUGUGAGUGCAU